ensembl:lncRNA uncharacterized LOC115025234
GAAGCCCUCAGAGUGGGUCAGGCAUGGAGAGAGCCAGCGGUACUGCUGCGUGUGUCUAAUGUUUUUGUUCCGUACUGACAGUCGGGAAAGCCAGUCUCACCGAACUCUGGAGCUGAAGGGAGAGCUAUAUAACUGACGCAAACAUGGUUUUAAUAACACCUGUGCUGUUGCUGCUGCUGUCUUGGGUAUCACUGCAAGCUGUCGCAGAGAUCUGCCGGGGGACGCACUGCUACGGCGCGGAAACCGGCGAUCCAAGACCGUGCACCGGAGCGCACUGUCCGGGGGGCAGAACCUCCAGACCGCCGCGGCACUAUCACACGACAGCGCAGGGGAGAUCGGCGCAGAUAGUCGCCAGCCAACACCACGCGUAUCCGAGCUCCCCGAGAGCAGCGUCGGAGGUUUAUCCGGCUGUGCAGCCACUUCGCGGGCGGCACAGCGGCAGCAGCAGCAGCAGCAGCAGUGGCGCACGGAUAAGAGCGCCUGAAGUUUUACCUGCAGGAUGCACGGGUGCAGACUGCGCCGCUCUUGUGAAACAAUUUCAGCCCACUAAUGACACCCAAGAAUGUAGAGGGAUCGAGUGCAGACUGCCGCUGAGGAUACGGCCAAAAGCUCGAGCAAAGUCUUGUGUGGGAGAAGGGUGUAGUUCAGAGGAGAGCGCCAGCCAGCUUCCUCCUGUCCAUCUGUCCGACAGAGCAGCUCAGUUUCUGGGAGAUUUUCCGGACCUUGGAUAUCCAUCGUCGGAACUUGGCGGCGCACCUUUGGGUGUCCAGCUCACAUGUGACAUCAAGCCAGGGGAGAAUGAAGUUCCCUCAGAAGAUGCCCUCAUCUUGCACCUCCAGCUGGCCAAAGGGCAGGAGAAGCUGGUGGAGGCCCUGCGUGCCCAGCAGAUAAUCAUCCGUGACCUGCAGCAGAAGCUCGCCGACCAACAGGAGGCGCUACUGUCCCAGCAGAUAGAGAUCCUGGACCAGCAGCGGCGCAUGUAUGAUCAGAUGGAUGUGGUGAAGGCCCAGUACGGCCUCCUCUCAGACACCAUCAAACAGGUUUCCUUCCAGGGCCUGCAGGGUGAGCUGCAGAGCUACUUCGAGAGCCACCUGGCGGGUCUGCAGAGCCAGGCCCGCAGCCACCUGCAGAAGUCCUACGCCGUGCACAAAAUGAACCUAGACUCAAAGGUGAUGGAUGUAGUCGGAGAGGCUAAUUUCCCUCAACCUCUGCUAGGAUGCCCUUCACCCUGUGGGCAGGAGGAGUUCUGUGAUUUUCAGAAUGACCCACCUCAAUGUGACAAGUGCACCAUGUGUCCACCGGGCUUCUUUCUGAUCUCACAGUGUUCUGCUACUGCAGACAGGAUGUGCCAGGACAGAGAUGAAUGUCUUGAAGUACCAAACAUUUGUGGAGAGCGAGUGAAGUGCCUUAAUACUCCAGGGGGGUUCAGGUGUUUGGGGGUUUCUAUGAGAGAAGCAGUGAUGGGCUUGUGUGGUCAGGACUACUUCUACAACCAGGAGCUGCAGGAGUGCCAGGCCUGUUCUGACUGUGAUGUUGAGCCUGUUUCUGUUGCCUGCACAGCUAUCAGUGACUCUGUCUGCGGCCAGCCUUCAGAGAGCCAACUCUCCGGGUCUUGGGGGGCCAAUGUGGGAGUUCCCCCUGCCAGAACCUCUGGCACCCAGAUCUUCCCUGGGCUUCAAUUAAACAUCCGAGGAAAAGAGAAAAUUGAUCUGUUGUCCAACGAGGCUGGGCAGGUGACGUUCCUGCAGCAUGGCCUGGUGUGGUUGGAUCAUAACUUUGCGAUAAAGCACAGCUGCAGGAACUUCCUUCAGGUUGGAAUAAGGCUCAAUGGGAGCCAGGAGGAGGAGGGUCGGGACCUCAGCGGUGUUCGCAUCGAACAACCGGAUGGGAAGUACUUCCAGGGUGUCAGCAUCAGCAGCGGAGUCGAGGUGGAGCCUAACCACACCCUCACUCUACUGCUGAAGAGUCCCAAUCAACACUGCAACCAGAGCAAGGAUCUUCACGUCUAUGACAUCACCACUCCUUCUUUCAGUUUGCUGUGGUUGUCGCACGACACCGGUGCCGUAGCUAUGACGGCUCAGAUGUCCGUGUUGACGCACUACCAGACCAGCUACCGCCCAACUUUCCGCAUGACCUCUGUGUCUGACCCGUAUAUGAUCAUUCUAACGCACGACAACCGCGGUGUGCGCUUCACAGAAAGUGGCGUGGUGAAGUUCGUCCUCCAGCAGGCGCUUUACUCUAUGGGCCACACCUGCAUUCGAGAGGGUUUCUCCCUGAUUGCCUACACUAACCGCAACGGGACUGGCCAGGAGGCGAUGCAAGCCUUCAAGACGGGCGUCAACUACAGGGACACCUCCAUCACCCUCUCUGGCGCUGUGAGCAUUGCCAGCGGGGACACGCUCAGCUUCGAGAUCACAUCUCCGUCCCAGUGCAACAUCCGCUACUUUGGGGACAGCACCGGGAUCAGUAUGCUGAGCCUCAUCUGGAUUCCCUCAGCAGUGUCGUCAGCGCUGACUGCUACCGUGUCCAGGACUGGUCUGCCCUUUGGAGCAGUCAGGAACAAGCAGCUGUCAUUCCAGCAGAUCAGCCCGGACACGACGCAGGUUCAUCUGUCCCGCUCAGGGGAGCCAAACAGCAGGAAGAACUUUGUAUUCCACGAGAAAGGAACGGCGAACAUAGCCCUCAACCUGAAGCUGAUACACUCCUGCAAUAUCGUUAAACUCACUUUGCAGCGGGCAGGGGGUCAGGGUGGGCAGGCAGCUCCUGUGGCUCAGCAGGUGUCUGGAUAUAUGCCUGAAGGGAGCGAGUGGGCCAGUAUCGGGCUAAGGGCCUCGUUUCCUGUGCAGAACGGUACAGCGGUGUACGUUACUCUGGACUGUAUUCGCGGACGAGUUAACCAGAUCACACACGAGGGCGGCACUAACGUUUCAAUUCUCUGGGUUGCAGUCUGAUCGAAGGAGGAAUGAAGCCUUGGUCAGUAAUACAUUUUGUGAAGAAGAAGAAAAAAGACAAUUUUGCACAAUAUUGAAUUGCAGAGCAGAUUCAACUAUUUACCAAAUGAAGAGAGGAUACUGGUAGACAUGACACAUAUUUGGUCAUAUAAUUGUUUUAAAUAUAUGUUUCAUCACCUGUUAAGACUUCUAUUGUCAAAUCUUUGUGGGUAUGAUUAACAUACUGUAAGUACUGCUUUUGCUUAAAGUACUUCGGCUGGUUGAGCAGUGACCAAUUCUUUGUGUGUGUGUGUGUGUGUGUGUGUGUGUGUGUGUGUGUGUGUGUGAGUGUGCGUGUGUACAGUAUGUAUGAGCGUGUUUGCAUACAUGUGCAGUGGUGCUUUUAUAUUUUUGUAUGUGUGUGUGUGUGUGUAUGUGAGAUAAACAUUGGCAUGCCUACUUUUGUAUGAGUCCUUUAAUAUGUAUAUCUUUAUGCUCCUGCACAUAUUUAACUUUUGUAUGUAACAAACUUUUUUGUAUCAUAUCGUUAGGCAUUUAAAACAAUAACAUUCUGGUAGAUAUGCUUGUACACAGGAAGAGUUAAAUGAGAAGAUAGAAGAUAGACACUAACCUUACUCCAUAAACUGAAUACAUCCCAACAAAAACUAUCCCUUCAAUGCUCUGAAGAGUUUGUAAUGAAAGAGUAUACACUAGUGCUAUGUAGUAAACUUUAAUAAGCAGGAGUUGGUUUUUGAUGAUAUUUAUUUGCCUUUUAUAAAACAGGAAUCUUGUAUUUACACUAUACAAUGCAUAUAUUUGUCAUAAAAAUAUAACAAUAUGUUGUGUGGUAAAGCACUGAGUAGGCAGUGUUGAUAUUCAAAUACAUGCAGUGAUAGCCUCUAUCAUAUGCUUAUUUGCACACAGUUUAACACAGUAUUAUGAAAUGUGCAAACAUCUUACUUUGUUAUUCGUUUGCAGAAAAUGCUGUUUCCCUGUGAAGAGUUGCCCAUGCAUAUCGUUCCUAAUUGCCUCUGUGUGUGUUCUGUCCUCCAAACAAUUAGGCAUAAUUAAGUGUUUCAGGGAGUUGGCAGGCACUGAAAUUCUUUAGCUUUAUUCUCACUUCAUUAUGUUUAGUGAUUUUUUCAUACUGUGGUUUGGGCUACCUGCACAUGUCAAUGCAUGCAUACGUGUUCAACACCAAAUAAAAUGUACAUAUGUUUUGCCAGAAAAAUACAUUUCACUCCAGUUUGUUAAUUCACAACGAUCAGAGACGAAAGAUAUUUCACA